rnacentral:misc_RNA from 1 species
UCCGGCUUGUGGCCGACAGUCUCUUUAGAGUGCCCAACUGAAUGCUGGCAACUAAGGGCGAGGGUUGCGCUCGUUGCGGGACUUGACCCAACAUCUCACGACACGAGCUGACGACAGCCAUGCAGCACCUGUACUAGCUCCCCUUGCGGGACACGAACUUUCAUUCGCUUUAGCUAGCAUGUCAAGCCUAGGUAAGGUUCUUCGCGUUGCAUCGAAUUGAACCACAUGCUCCACUGCUUGUGCGGGCCCCCGUCAAUUCCUUUGAGUUUCAACCUUGCGAUCGUACUCCCCAGGUGGAAUACUUAAUGCGUUAGCUGCGACACUGAGUUCGACCCCAACGUCUAGUAUUCAUCGUUUAAGGCGUGGACUAC